rnacentral:rRNA from 1 species
GGGUUGUGAGGUUAAGCGACUAAGCGUACACGGUGGAUGCCCUGGCAGUCAGAGGCGAUGAAGGACGUGCUAAUCUGCGAAAAGCGUCGGUAAGGUGAUAUGAACCGUUAUAACCGGCGAUGUCCGAAUGGGGAAACCCAGUGCAAUUCGUUGCACUAUCGUUAACUGAAUACAUAGGUUAACGAGGCGAACCGGGGGAACUGAAACAUCUAAGUACCCCGAGGAAAAGAAAUCAACCGAGAUUCCCCCAGUAGCGGCGAGCGAACGGGGAGCAGCCCAGAGUCUGAAUCAGCUUGUGUGUUAGUGGAACGGUCUGGAAAGUCCGACGGUACAGGGUGAUAGUCCCGUACACCAAAAUGCACAGGUUGUGAACUCGAAGAGUAGGGCGGGACACGUGGUAUCCUGUCUGAAUAUGGGGGGACCAUCCUCCAAGGCUAAAUACUCCUGACUGACCGAUAGUGAACCAGUACCGUGAGGGAAAGGCGAAAAGAACCCCGGCGAGGGGAGUGAAAAAGAACCUGAAACCGUGUACGUACAAGCAGUGGGAGCACCUUCGGGUGUGACUGCGUACCUUUUGUAUAAUGGGUCAGCGACUUAUAUUCUGUAGCAAGGUUAACCGUAUAGGGGAGCCGCAGGGAAACCGAGUCUUAACUGGGCGUUAAGUUGCAGGGUAUAGACCCGAAACCCGGUGAUCUAGCCAUGGGCAGGUUGAAGGUUGGGUAACACUAACUGGAGGACCGAACCGACUAAUGUUGAAAAAUUAGCGGAUGACUUGUGGCUGGGGGUGAAAGGCCAAUCAAACCGGGAGAUAGCUGGUUCUCCCCGAAAGCUAUUUAGGUAGCGCCUCGUGAACUCAUCUUCGGGGGUAGAGCACUGUUUCGGCUAGGGGGUCAUCCCGACUUACCAACCCGAUGCAAACUACGAAUACCGAAGAAUGUUAUCACGGGAGACACACGGCGGGUGCUAACGUCCGUCGUGAAGAGGGAAACAACCCAGACCGCCAGCUAAGGUCCCAAAGUCAUGGUUAAGUGGGAAACGAUGUGGGAAGGCACAGACAGCCAGGAUGUUGGCUUAGAAGCAGCCAUCAUUUAAAGAAAGCGUAAUAGCUCACUGGUCGAGUCGGCCUGCGCGGAAGAUGUAACGGGGCUAAACCAUGCACCGAAGCUGCGGCAGCGACACUAUGUGUUGUUGGGUAGGGGAGCGUUCUGUAAGCCUGCGAAGGUGUGCUGUGAGGCAUGCUGGAGGUAUCAGAAGUGCGAAUGCUGACAUAAGUAACGAUAAAGCGGGUGAAAAGCCCGCUCGCCGGAAGACCAAGGGUUCCUGUCCAACGUUAAUCGGGGCAGGGUGAGUCGACCCCUAAGGCGAGGCCGAAAGGCGUAGUCGAUGGGAAACAGGUUAAUAUUCCUGUACUUGGUGUUACUGCGAAGGGGGGACGGAGAAGGCUAUGUUAGCCGGGCGACGGUUGUCCCGGUUUAAGCAUGUAGGCUGGUUAUCCAGGCAAAUCCGGAUAAUCAAGGCUGAGGUGUGAUGACGAGGCACUACGGUGCUGAAGUAACAAAUGCCCUGCUUCCAGGAAAAGCCUCUAAGCAUCAGGUAACAUCAAAUCGUACCCCAAACCGACACAGGUGGUCAGGUAGAGAAUACCAAGGCGCUUGAGAGAACUCGGGUGAAGGAACUAGGCAAAAUGGUGCCGUAACUUCGGGAGAAGGCACGCUGGUGUGUAGGUGAAGUCCCUGCGGAUGGAGCUGAGACCAGUCGAAGAUACCAGCUGGCUGCAACUGUUUAUUAAAAACACAGCACUGUGCAAACACGAAAGUGGACGUAUACGGUGUGACGCCUGCCCGGUGCCGGAAGGUUAAUUGAUGGGGUUAUCCGUAAGGAGAAGCUCUUGAUCGAAGCCCCGGUAAACGGCGGCCGUAACUAUAACGGUCCUAAGGUAGCGAAAUUCCUUGUCGGGUAAGUUCCGACCUGCACGAAUGGCGUAAUGAUGGCCAGGCUGUCUCCACCCGAGACUCAGUGAAAUUGAACUCGCUGUGAAGAUGCAGUGUACCCGCGGCAAGACGGAAAGACCCCGUGAACCUUUACUAUAGCUUGACACUGAACAUUGAGCCUUGAUGUGUAGGAUAGGUGGGAGGCUUUGAAGCGUGGACGCCAGUCUGCGUGGAGCCAACCUUGAAAUACCACCCUUUAAUGUUUGAUGUUCUAACGUUGGCCCCUGACCGGGGUUGCGGACAGUGUCUGGUGGGUAGUUUGACUGGGGCGGUCUCCUCCCAAAGCGUAACGGAGGAGCACGAAGGUUAGCUAAUCCUGGUCGGACAUCAGGAGGUUAGUGCAAUGGCAUAAGCUAGCUUGACUGCGAGCGUGACGGCGCGAGCAGGUGCGAAAGCAGGUCAUAGUGAUCCGGUGGUUCUGAAUGGAAGGGCCAUCGCUCAACGGAUAAAAGGUACUCCGGGGAUAACAGGCUGAUACCGCCCAAGAGUUCAUAUCGACGGCGGUGUUUGGCACCUCGAUGUCGGCUCAUCACAUCCUGGGGCUGAAGUAGGUCCCAAGGGUAUGGCUGUUCGCCAUUUAAAGUGGUACGCGAGCUGGGUUUAGAACGUCGUGAGACAGUUCGGUCCCUAUCUGCCGUGGGCGCUGGAGAAUUGAGGGGGGCUGCUCCUAGUACGAGAGGACCGGAGUGGACGCAUCACUGGUGUUCGGGUUGUCAUGCCAAUGGCACUGCCCGGUAGCUAAAUGCGGAAGAGAUAAGUGCUGAAAGCAUCUAAGCACGAAACUUGCCCCGAGAUGAGUUCUCCCUGAGACUGU